rnacentral:rRNA from 1 species
UACGAAGGACCCGAGCGUUAUCCGGAUUCAUUGGGUUUAAAGGGUGCGUAGGCGGGUUGAUAAGUCAGUGGUGAAAGCCCAACGCUUAACGUUGGAACUGCCAUUGAUACUGUCGAUCUUGAAUGUGUUUGAUGUGGGCGGAAUAUGACAUGUAGCGGUGAAAUGCUUAGAUAUGUCAUAGAACACCGAUUGCGAAGGCAGCUCACAAAGCCACUAUUGACGCUGAGGCACGAAAGCGUGGGGAUCAAACAGG